CACGGGGGGGGUAAGCGUUGUUCGGAAUUACUGGGCGUAAAGGGCUCGUAGGCGGCCAACUAAGUCAGACGUGAAAUCCCUCAGCUUAACUGGGGAACUGCGUCUGAUACUGGAUGGCUUGGAUUCGGGAGAGGAAUGCGGAAUUCCAGGUGUAGCGGUGAAAUGCGUAGAUAUCUGGAGGAACACCGGUGGCGAAGGCGGCAUUCUGGACCGAUAUUGACGCUGAGGAGCGAAAGCCAGGGGAGCAAACGGG
rnacentral:rRNA from 1 species